UACAGAGGGGGCAAGCGUUGUUCGGAAUUACUGGGCGUAAAGGGCGCGUAGGCGGCCUUCUAAGUCGAACGUGAAAUCCCCGAGCUCAACUCGGGAACUGCGUCCGAUACUGACAGGCUUGAAUCCGGGAGAGGGAUGCGGAAUUCCAGGUGUAGCGGUGAAAUGCGCAGAUAUCAGGAAGAACACCAAUGGCGAAAGCAGCUUUCUGGGACGGUACUGACGCUGAGACGCGAAAGCGUGGGGAGCGAACAGG
rnacentral:rRNA from 1 species